UACAGGAGGGGGCAAGCGUUAUUCGGUAAUUAUUGGGCGUAAAGGGCGCGUAGGCGGCCUGGCAAGUGGAAAGGUGAAAUCCCUCGGCUUAACCGAGGAACUGCCCUCCAAACUGCUUGGCUUGAGUCCGGGAAGAGGUGAGUGGAAUUCCCAGUGUAGCGGUGAAAUGCGUAGAUAUUGGGAGGAACACCAGUCGGCGGAAGGCGGACUCACUGGACCGGAACUGGACGCUGAGGCGCGAAAGCGUGGGGAGCAAACGGGG
rnacentral:rRNA from 1 species